UACGGAGGGUGCAAGCGUUGUCCGGAAUUAUUGGGCGUAAAGAGCUCGUAGGCGGCUUGUCACGUCGGAUGUGAAAGCCCGGGGCUUAACUCCGGGUCUGCAUUCGAUACGGGCUGGCUAGAGUGUGGUAGGGGAGAUCGGAAUUCCUGGUGUAGCGGUGGAAUGCGCAGAUAUCAGGAGGAACACCGGUGGCGAAGGCGGGAUCCUGGGCCAGUACUGACGCUGAGGAGCGAAAGCGUGGGGAGCAAACAGG
rnacentral:rRNA from 1 species